GCGCGCGCGUGGGCCGCGCAGCCGUUGACGUCUGGAAGCGCGCUGCCAUACAAACCUCUGGUCGGAGAUGUUGGCGACGGUGGCAGCUGGGGGAGCUGCUGAGCGCCGCCCGGCACUGGGCUCCCUUUCCCUUCACUUUCUGCAGUUUCUUGCCUCCAGACAAGGUCUCACUGUGUCACCCAGGUCGGAGUGCACUGGUACAAUUGUAGCUCAUGGCAACCUCAAACUCCAAGAUUCAAGUGAUCCUCCUGCCUUGGCCUCUGGAAGUGUUGGAAUUACAGCUGUGAGCCAUGGUGUUGGAUUUCAGGAGAACCAGCCCCCGAUAUUUCAACAUGAAGACUUGAACAUUCUUUUUUUUUUUUUAGAUGAAGUCUUGCUCUGUCAUCCAGGCUGGAGUGCAGUUGCACUAUCUCAACUCAUUGUAACCUCUGCCCUUGUUCCCUAAAAUCACUGUUAUUCUGUUCUUUUUUAAGGUGCACUGAUUUCAUAUUGUUCAAACACACGUUUAUAAUCAGAUUUCAUAUUGUUCAAACACACAUGUUUUACAAUCAAUUUGUUAGUUAAUGCAAUCAUCACAGGGUCCUGAGGUGAUAUACAUUCUCAGCUUACGAAGAUAACAGGAUUGAGAUUAAAAUAAAGACAGGCAUAAGAAAUUAUAAGUGUAUUAUUUGGGAAGUGAUAAAUGUUCAUGAAAUCUUCACAAUUUAUGUUCAGUGAUUGCAGUAAAGACAGGCGUAAGAAAUUAUAAAAGUAUUAAUUUUGGGAACUGAUAAAUGUCCAUUAAAUCACAAUUUAUGUUCCUCUGC